GUCUCUGUGGCGCAAAUUGGUUAGGCGCGUUCGGCUGUUAACCGAAAGGUUGGUGGUUCGAGCCCCACCCAGGGACG